CUCACAGAGAGCGAGAGCUUCCGGAACAGAGAUGGCGGUCCUCGCAUCGGGCAAGCAGCAUCAGUCGGAAAACUGGACCAACAAGAAGUAGAAGAGACCCACAGCAGAGCACCAGCUAACAAGCCCAGUGCGCUGAGCCUCAUCGUGUAUUCCUUAAGAAACCUCUGGCAAUCAGUGCCACCCACAGGCACCAGGUGCCAGUAAACACGCCCAAACCUCUGGCCACAUGUCCUGAGAGAGAACAUCCGUCAUUUGUAGAUACUCCUGACAACCGAUUUCAGAAAUGACUCUUAAGAAAUAACUGUGGUACAUGAUCCCCUGCCUAGGAACUGCCAGAAUGCUUAAUUCUGGGGGCACUUUCUUGGGGGCACAUUAAAGUAUGCUAAAUUGAUCAGCUUUCA